CGAGUCCCUCCCCGUGCACGCACCGAGCGCUGAGGCGCGCCGCUCUGCCGAACGCGUGCCUGCGUGCCCCUCGCACACACAUAGCUGGGGCUGCGGCACCGACGGACGGACUUUGGCCGGGAUCACGUGGGGCUGCGAGGCACACCACGGGAGCGUGCGGCGAUCGCCGUGUGUCGGCCAGACGUGGGGCUGUGGCACCGGGGUACGACGCGCUCAUCUGAGGUACAUCUCGGGACACCGGAGUCCCGAGAGCGUGUGGCUAUCGCCGUGAGGCGCACGCAGCGCUCUGAGCUGCGUGAGGUCGGAGGCACGCAGGGCUGUGUUACUUGGAGGCACGCACAGGCCUGAGCAACGUGCUGAGACGUGAGGGUGCCCCGUUCCUGGAGGAAGGAGGGCAGCCUGGCCUGGUGGGGGAUCAGCGCGCGUGGAAGCGUGGAGCUGUGUCCCGUACCGCAAGGCUGUCAGCAGGACAGGCACGCAGACUGCUGCAAUACGCAGAGAGAGCGAGAUUACGGCCUGCACUGAGACCUUGCUGCUGUGUGCUUCCCCUGGCACGUCUGUCAACUGCAGAGAAACGAUCCUCAGACAACUGGAUAAACCAGACAUUGACACUAACAGAGCAUGUGACUGGAGUUAAGCAGUUUCUUCAGAUUGUCACCUGCUUCGGCCCGCAUAGCGUCAAAGUGGAACCUGAAAGGCUCACAAAAGGCACAAUGAAAAUAAAGGGCAUUACUGAUGAGCUGAUAUGGGGCUAUGUUAUCAGAGUCACUUAGGUGCUAAGAUGGUGGAGACAGUUAUCCCAGGUGGUGGAAGAAUGGAAGUACCAUGACAGGAGAAGGAAGCCUGCCAUCACUAUUUUCACCAUCCUAUCUUGCUCAGAAGCAGCAUGUGUCUUAUAGGAACACACUCCCAACAUCCAGUCCAGCCUGCUAUCUUCAGCCACCCUCUAUCUGAACGAACUUAGGCUCCAGGGACAUCCCAACAUUAUCAUGGUCAUGGUGCUGGAGCCAGUCGUGCUGCAGAUGGACACUGCUGUGGUUGCAGGAUACCUAGAGAUGAUGGCAUGCUUUGAGGACUUUUUUUGCACAGAUUUAAUGUUUCCAGGAUAAUCUUCACAGCUAUUGGGAUGGUACCAGCCAGUAGAUGUUCACUUCAUUGGAGUCCUUUUGCACUUCCACUUGUCAGCCAGAGGCAUCUAAAAGGCUGCUGGUGAGUUCAGUGCAUGCUUGAGAUGUGGAGAAAGCACAAACAUGGCAAGAAAUUGACAGCAUCUGUUUGCUUGCUGACCCCUCCAUCUGCUGUGAAAGAAGGGAGAAGUGGGUUCUUUGGAUGUCACA